rnacentral:rRNA from 1 species
UACGUAGGGUGCGAGCGUUGUCCGGAAUUACUGGGCGUAAAGAGCUUGUAGGCGGUUUGUCGCGUCGUCCGUGAAAACUCACAGCUCAACUGUGGGCGUGCGGGCGAUACGGGCAGACUGGAGUACUGCAGGGGAGACUGGAAUUCCUGGUGUAGCGGUGGAAUGCGCAGAUAUCAGGAGGAACACCGGUGGCGAAGGCGGGGUCUCUGGGCAGUAACUGACGCUGGAGGAGCGAAAGCGUGGGGAGCGAACAGG